rnacentral:tRNA from 1 species
GCCGUGGUGGCGGAAUUGGUAGACGCGCACGACUCAAAAUCGUGUGGAGCAAUCCAUGAGGGUUCGACCCCCUCCCGCGGCA